CCGCUAGUCCUCUGAUCCCGCUAGUCCUCUGAUCCCGCUAGUCCUCUGAUCCCGCUAGUCCUCUGAUCCGCUAGUCCUCUGGUUGUUUAUCGGCUUGUAUCGCCGACCAAGCCAUCGGAACUGUUAAUCAAGUUCUACGUUACUGUCACGAUUGAAAAAUCAUUCCUGAGACAGCAUUAAUUCAGGGGUUUCUUUCUUCUGACCACACAAACAUAUACAAGCGAACAGAGAGACUAGCAGUUAACAUUUUACAUUAUUAAUUUUAAAACUGGUAAACAACUAAACGGUCAGUACAUGAUGUAUGAAAGGACACGAGGAAAUGUUAUUUUCAGUUAGUGGCAGUGUCCAUAAUGGUAUCUUCCAUUCCCUUCAGUGCACUACUGUUGACUAGUGC
rnacentral:lncRNA from 13 species